CAAUAGUUUGACAGAUGCACUACAAGAAGCCAAUAAAUUGUUCAGUAGAGUUUCCCAGGCAAGGGAGGCUGCUCUGGAUGCCCAGUUCCUUGUUUUGGCAUCAAAUCUAGGAAAGGAAAAAGCAAAUGAGUUACACUCUGAAAUGACAGUAUUUGACUCGCCAGCAUUUGCUGAAGAUUUAAUAACGUUUAUGGGCCUAAAUCGUCUAGAAGGAGAAGAAAAUGAUAGCGAUGAUGAGAGCAUUGCUAGUGGACUUUUACCUAAUAAUGCCUGGCAUAAACUGGGAGCAGAAGCAGAAAGCUAUUUCAGAAGAUCUCCUUCUUUUCA